UUCUACAAUACAAUUUCUUUAUGUUUCUGUCAAAUAAAUACAGGGGCUUUGGGCCUUUGGCUACAAGCACGGAUAUGUUUAUUUAAUAUAAGUUGUCAAUGUUACUUUCACUAUAUAUUAGUUUUAUUAAUUUUGUAUUCACUAUCAUAUUUAUUAUCAUUUGCACUAUUAUAUCUUUAUUUCCAUUGAAUUACUAUUGUUAAACUUUUCACUUCUAUAUACAUUUAUGCACAUUAUAUGUAUGUUUGUAUAUGUGUCCACUGCAUGUGAGAGGCAGGACACGUUGCGCUCUGUACUGCAGUUUUCAAGUUUGCUUUUCUUUCUUCUAAGAGCAGACUAUCUGAUCAAAUAAGGGAUCAGACUGCUCCUGGUGUUCGAACUAGUCAUUAAUGGUAAGCUUCAUUGGUAUCCUUUCUUUUUUCUGGUAUGCGACCACCGAGACUGAAGGUGGAAAGUUGAAAUCUUCUUUUAUUAUUAUGCAUUCUAUAUGUGCUAGAGUUUACAUUCAUUUUGUUUUUUUCUCUACUCUUUCUCUCCCACUUGUUACUAUAAUCCCGAAACAAGUAAAGUAAGGAUCCAUUUGUUUAUUUUCACGCGAAUAGUCUUUUUUCUUAUUCUGUCUAAAGUGGCUUUUUCCUUUUUUUAUCUCUUUAUGGAUGAGCUUCACCGGGAAGUGGCUCCAUUUCUUACUGCGUUGAGGGCAUCCACAGUGGAGUUAAUCCACCACCAGGCGCGGCCCUUCUGGAAGCUACCCUUGGCUAGUCUCUAAAUGCUUGCCCGAUAGUUGUUUGAUAAAAUUCCUAAGAAAGGUUGCUUGCUGAAUGAGUUUAGUUUUGGGAUUUUGGUUCGUGGGUAUUGUAGAUUUGGCCUUGCUAAUAAAGGGUUGGAGCUUUUGGAUUUGAUGAGAAGUUCUGAGAUUUUGCCUAACAGGAUAUUUUUAACUUGAUUGUUGCCACUUUCAAUGGUUUGAGCGACACCGAUGGUCCAUCAUUUAGAAGGAUAGUUGUAAUUUUGGAGACUCUUGCGAAAUAUAGAUCAUGUGUUGUGAUGUUGGAUCUUGAAUUGGAUCUUGAAUGUGAUGAUUUGGUUAAUGAAAUGUUCAGUACAUUUUUUUCUGUUGUAAGGUAUGUUUUAUUCCAUUAUUUAUUUAAUGUUUUAUUCCAUUAUUUAUUUAAUGUCAAGAACCGUUUACUCAUCGGUUCUGCUUACCAAAAAGUAUGCGUUGCAUGUAACAUGAGUGCUUUUGUUUUUGUUGAAUGUAGAAUUUUGAAAUGGCUUUAUGGUACAACAUGAUAUUGGUCUUAGUAUUUCACUUUAGUGCAGUGGCUAAGAUAUGCCUGCAACCUCUUUUUGUUCAUUGUAGUAUCUUGAGCAUACCUAUUUGUGUGUGCAUGUCUGUCUUGUGGUUGGGUUGGUACUUGAAAGUUUCAUCUUCCCUUAAGUUGUUUUUAUAGUAAGAAUCUGCAUGUUGUUUAAAUCAUUUUCCUGUAUGUUUUGAAUUAUCUUGGACUGGAGGACUGAUGUUAACUACAUAUUGCAGGGAUGAUCAUCCAGAAAGUGUUUUAUCAGCUAUGCAAACAAUCAUGAUUGUGGUGUUAAAAGAGAGUGAAGAUGUUUGAGAUGACUUUUUACUUGUUAUAUUGUUUGCAUUAGG
rnacentral:lncRNA from 1 species